rnacentral:rRNA from 1 species
UAAAGCAAGAAAGGGCGUAUGGGGAAUGCCUAGGCACACUCCGGCGAAGAAGGACGCAGCAAACAGCGAAAUGCGACGGUGAGCGGUAAGCACGUGAAGAGCCGUCGAUAUCCGAAUGGGGGAACCCACACGGAGUCAUAUCCGUGUAUCACAUGUCGAAUACAUAGACAUGAUGAGGCGAGACGCAGGGAACUGAAACAUCUAAGUACCUGCAGGAAGAGAAAAUAAGAAUGAUUUUCUGAGUAGCGGCGAGCGAAAGGGAAAGAGCCCAAACCGAUCUGAGGAUCGGGGUAGUAGGAUCAUCGAGGAAUCUGACAGAGGAUCAUAGAGGAAUCACAUGGGAAGGUGAGCGAGAGAGGGUGAGAGCCCCGUACUCGAAAUGAGAGACUGGAGAGAGAUGACACCUGAGUAGGGCGGGACACGAGAAAUCCUGUCUGAAUCAGCCGGGACCAUCCGGCAAGGCUAAAUACGAGAGAGUGACCGAUAGUGAACCAGUACCGUGAGGGAAAGGUGAAAAGAACCCCGGGAGGGGAGUGAAAGAGAACCUGAAACCAUAUGCCUACAAGAAGUCAGAGCCCGUUAAAGGGUGAUGGCGUGCCUUUUGUAGAAUGAACCGGCGAGUUACUGUAUGGAGCGAGGUUAAGCAGGAUAUGCGGAGCCGAAGCGAAAGCGAGUCUUAAGAGGGCGCGAGUUGCAUGCAGUAGACCCGAAACCGGGUGAUCUAGCCAUGACCAGGUUGAAGUUGGGGUAAAACCCGAUGGAGGACCGAACCGACCCCCGUUGAAACGUUGGCGGAUGAGUUGUGGCUAGGGGUGAAAUUCCAAUCGAACCCGGAGAUAGCUGGUUCUCCCCGAAAUAGCUUUAGGGCUAGCGUCGAGAGAAGAGUUGCGUGAAGGUAGAGCACUGAAUAUGUGAUGGCCCCAUCUCGGGGUACUGAGCAUAAUCAAACUGCGAAUGUCACGCCAACAUGCUCGGCAGUCAGACAGCGGGUGAUAAGGUCCGUUGUCAAGAGGGAAACAGCCCAGACCAUCAGCUAAGGUCCCAAAAUGUAUGCUAAGUGGAAAAGGAUGUGGAGAUGUACAGACAACUAGGAGGUUGGCUCAGAAGCAGCCAUCCUUUAAAGAGUGCGUAACAGCUCACUAGUCGAAUGACUCUGCGCCGAUAAUUUACCGGGGCUAAGCAUACUACCGAAGCUAUGGAUCCCAAGGGAUGGUAGGGGAGCGUUCCAUGAACGGAGAAGUACGACCGAAAGGACGUGUGGAGAUCAUGGAAGAGAGAAUGCCGGUGUGAGUAGCGGAACGUGGGUGAGAAUCCCACGCACCGAAAACCCAAGGUUUCCAGAGGAAGGUUCGUCCGCUCUGGGUAAGUCGGGACCUAAGGCGAGGCCGAAAGGCGUAGUCGAUGGACAACAGGUAGAGAUUCCUGUACCCGUAUAUAUGUGAAGGAAUGACGGAGAGAGGAAGCUGCAGCCAGCGGCUGGAAGAGCUGGUGCAAGCGAGAUAUCGGGAUGGCAGGCAAAUCCACCAUCCGAAACGAGAAGGCGUGAAGCGUACGGAAAGCUACGGCGAGUACGGAAGGCAGUGGAGGAACUUCCAAGAAAAGUUUCUAACGUUAAGUAUAUAUGGCCCGUACCGAAAAUGGACACACAUGGGUGAGGAGAGAAUCCUAAGGUGAGCGAGAGAACUAUAGCUAAGGAACUCUGCAAAAUGACUCCGUAACUUAGGGAGAAGGAGUGCUCAUAGAGAUAUGAGCCGCAGUGAAACGGCCCAAGCGACUGUUUACCAAAAACACAGCUCUCUGCUAAGCCGCAAGGCGAAGUAUAGGGGGUGACGCCUGCCCGGUGCUGGAAGGUUAAGGGGAGGGGUUAACGCAAGUGAAGCCCUGAACUGAAGCCCCAGUAAACGGCGGCCGUAACUAUAACGGUCCUAAGGUAGCGAAAUUCCUUGUCAGGUAAGUUCUGACCCG